GACAAAACGCGUUCGGCGGAGCGGAUUGGUUGUCGUUACGGUAACAUGGCGGCGCCCGCUGUGCCGCGCUGAGCCCGGCAGGACGGUGGCGGUCGCUUCUUCUCUCGCCGCGAUGUUGAGCGGUUGCCGCCGGUUGCUGUGGGGCCGCUUCUCGACCGCCCGGUUCCCCCGACCGCCUCCUGCCGCUGCCGGGAGCGGUCCGGUGGGGCCGGGCGGGGGUCGGGCUUACGCCCCACCGGCAGAGAGGAAGCGGUUUUACCAGAACGUGAGCAUCUCACAAGGAGAAGGAGGCUUUGAAAUAAACCUGGACCACCGAAAGCUGAAAACGCCCCAGGGCAAGCUCUUCACUGUCCCCAGUGAAGUCUUGGCCAUUGCAGUGGCAACAGAAUGGGACUCCCAGAAAGACACCAUCAAGUUCUACACUAUGCAUCUGACCACACUGUGCAACACAGCGCUGGACAAUCCCACGCAGCGAAACAAAAUGCAGCUGAUCCGUGCGGCUGUGAAGUUCCUGGAGACUGACACUGUCUGCUACCGUGUGGAGGAGCCAGCCGCCUUGGCAGAGCUGCAGAGGGAUGAAUGGGAUCCUGUUGUUGCCUGGGCUGAGAAAAGGUACAACGUGGCAAUUGGCUCCUCGACCAGCAUCCUGGGGCCAAACAUUCCAGCCAGCACCAAGGAGACCUUCGUCAGCCAUCUGGCGUCCUACAACGUGUGGGCCCUGCAAGAUCUGAUGCUUAAGUGCCCAGAUGCAAGUGGGAGGAUCACUGGCCCUGUGAUCCCCCUGAGGAGGCACCACACCCUGACUGUCUGUUCAGAGCAUGUGAAGAUGCUGCUGUAAUGCUGCAGAAAACAACCAUGAAUCUUGUUCAUUUUGGGUUAUUCCCUUCCAGGUAUAGAAUAUGUAAUCACCCAGCUGAAAUCUCUGAUUCUGUCCAUGGGUCUGAUUGACAGGCACAUUACAGUAGAGAAAGCCGUGCUUCUGUCUCGCCUGGAGGAAGAAUACCAGAUUCAGCGGUGGGGCAGUGUGGAGUGGGCCCAUGACUAUGAUCUGUGCGAGCUGCGUGCUCGCACGGCCGCUGGGACUCUCUUUGUUCACCUCUGUUCAGAGAGCUCAACUGUAAAACACAAGCUGUUGCAGGACUGAGGCUGCUGGGCUGGGCACAGGAGGAGAAUGCCCAGCUGUGAAUUGCUGGCAUGACCCAGUGAGGGCAACCACCCUCCUGCCACCACGUCUUUCCUGGGAUCAGCCUCGUGCUGAGGAGCUGCGACUUUGUGGGCAACUCCUUGCUUGGACUGCCUGCCGCAGUGCAGCGCCAGCAGUUUUGAGCCCACAAGGAGGAAAGGUCAAGGUGAGCUUCCUCUGCAUCCCCCAGACAGCAGCUCUGUCCAUUACCGGUGUCUGUAACUCAUCAGAGGAGCUCUCACGAAAGAAACAGCUUCCUGGGCAGGGUGCGGUACAGACAUACCCAGCAUAUGCCACAUGUCUUCAUAGCUGCCAGCUCCUGACACACACUUGUUAUGGAAAUCUGAAAACAGACUCCAUUGCAUCUGUUCUUCAUCCCUCAGUGUGCCUGUAUGUAACACCAGGGUCUCUCUGUUUGAUUAAAGGCACGCCCCUGCUAGAUACUGA